rnacentral:rRNA from 1 species
AUUGAACGCUGGCGGCGGGCCUAACACAUGCAAGUCGAACGAGUGGCGGACGGGUGAGUAAUGUCUGGGAAACUGCCUGACGGAGGGGGAUAACUACUGGAAACGGUGGCUAAUACCGCAUACCAUCGGUUGGGCCCAGAUGGGUUUAGCUAGUGGGGGGGGUAACGGCUCACCUAGGCGACGAGCCCUAGCUGGUCUGAGAGGAUGACCGGCCACACUGGAACUGAGACACGGUCCAGACUCCUACGGGAGGCAGCAGUGGGGAAUAUUGCACAAUGGGCGCAAGUCUGAUGCAGCCAUGCCGCGUGUAUGAAGAAGGCCUUCGGGUUGUAAAGUACUUUCAGCGGGGAGGCGUUACCCACAGAAGAAGCACCGGCUAACUCCGUGCCAGCAGCCGCGGUAAUUC